AGCGGCCCCCGGGGUUGGGGCGAGGCGGGGCCGGCCCGGCCCGAGCGGGGCUGUGGAGCCGCGAGCGACAACGUGAGAGGGAAGGUGAAGGGAAAAGGCGGGGAGGAAGAGAAAAAAGAGGGAAAGUAAACGGGGAAAAAAUAAAGGAAUUAAAAAAAAAAAAAAAAAGUGGAAAACCCGAAGAAAAACUGGAAAAGAAGAUCGAAUUGUCGCAUGGUCAGAAAAGUUAAAACUAAAAAAAAACCCCAAAAAACUUAGAAGCUCAGCUGGGGGAAAAGGGGAACGCGUAACUGCUAAACUGCUAGAAGUGAAGAAAAGGCAAAAGGAAAAUCCAUUUUGAUUAGACUUGGAAGAACCAUUGUUCGUGGAAAGAAAUACUAAAUUUACAUAAAGAUGGGAAAUGCAAUGUGCAGUCUGUUUUAUAUGCUUCCAGGCUGCCCAUCAUGUAGGAAUGUGUACUCCUGGGGACACAGGAUUUGAAGGUAUGCCUGGCUGGGAAUUGAGUGGAAAUGCAGUGAACAAAAACAGACACCUGCAAGUUAACAAAUGUUCUCUCCUGCUGGAAACUGCACAUGGCUGCCAAGGCAGGAGCUAUUUGAAAAAUCAGAAGUCAGAUCCAGGAAGAGAGGAGUCUGUAGACGUAGCAAAAUCGAAUCUGUGUUACCAGAAAUAAUUCAUUUUCAGGAAGAGCAAAGCUUUAAAGUCUCCACACAGAGAAUGGAAAGAAGAAAUUCCCCUCUGGUGACCCUGAUGCAAAAGCAAGCUAUUGAAACUAAAAUUAAAUAUGUGGUGGGAUGGCGUGGCUCUUUUUAAAUAAAACAAGAAGCAGGUGUGAACCCUGUGAACCCAGUUUGGGAAUGGUUAGUAGCAGAGUUUCACUUUGAAACUCAUAGCAUGCAGUGCAUAUUUACUGAAAACAUACCAGCAAUUCUGAAAUUACCAGCAUCCAACUUACUACAAUUAUAUCAGCAAUAUGUGUAUUAAUAGAGGGGAGUUCUCUAAGGUAUCUUAACAUAUGUAACAUAUGCUUUCAGAUACUUCUGAUUUCAGCUCCUUUUUUGUUUAUUGGUUUAUAAAAUAUUAUCUUUGAUAGUACAGAUUCAAACUCUGAUCCUGGCUCAAAAAUUAAAGAAUGGCCAAGAACAGGAAAAAUUGCAGUUUGCAUUGGUGCCUCUUAGUUUCAGUUUUGGGUUCAUGUACAUAUCCUGUACUUAAAUCCUGUUUUACAUUAAUUUAAGAGGAGAUACAAAAUGUACAGUCCUGGUGAGCCCACCAACCAACCAAAAUUUUUGAAAGAACAUGCAGGAAAAAAUGAGAUUUGUUGUAUGUCAUGUGAUAACCUAUGGAACUCUAAUACAGUUUUCUCUUGUUGAAAAAGUGGGUUUGUAUUAAAGCUUAUCAGAGUUGUAACCCUA